UGGCAUGUGAAUCUGCUUCCCAUUUUCCUUGUUGGCUUGAGUCGCUGGAUCCUCCCCCUUUUCUGGCUUUUGGCUCUUCAGCCACAUUUCAUAGAGCUGCUCCAUGUCUUGAACUAAAAGGAGAAGAGAAGCUGGUCCACAUUUCUCGCUCUUCGGGACUGUGAGCAAAGGAGCAGUUCCCAACAUACUGACAUUUCUUGCCUGAUGCAAUAUGAUUGCAUAGCUAAAGAAGAAAGAAAGUGUCAGAUAAGCGGAGGAGUAAUUUGAUGUCCAUUCACUUAAAUAGCAUGGAGCUGAAGAAGCAUGUACAGCAGUUGUAAAAAUGACAGGCCUAGUGCAAGCACAAGAUUCUUUUAUUAGAGGAUCACCCACUGGCUACACGAAGCCAAGUUGCAUGUUCUCUCUUACGCAAACUUGCCUGUACUAAAGUGCAGAUUAUUCCAUUACAAUCUGAAGUGAAUCAGUGUGAUGUUGUGGUUAAAGUGCUAAACUAGUAUUGGGAAGACCUGGGUUCAAAUUCCCCACUCUGCCACAAAGCUCACUGAGAAGCCAGGGAUUAGUUGACACUCAGCCUAACUGACCUCACAAGUUUGACGAGAAGAUAAAAAGGGGACCCCGACCCCAUCCCCACCUUGAGCUCCUUGGACAAAGACUGGGAUGUAAGUGCACUAAACCUCUUUCCCUUCAAAUGAAAAACCUGCAGCCCUUCUAAUCUGGAGUCCAAUGAUCAUAUGUCAUCAGCCAAUAAUAUUGCAUCAGCCAAUAAUAUUUGUAGAACAUAAUCUUGCAAAAGAGCAGCAAAAUACGCAAGUCAAGCUUGUUCCUCUUUUAAACAAAGUUAUAAACACACUUUUAAAAAUUUAAAUGCUCACAGCUGUGAAGCAUUUUAGAGUAAAAGUACAAGAUAGUACAAAUUGUUCAAGGCCUGUGGAAUGCACUCUCAGCAGAUAUCUGUAGUUUGGGCUCAUUGUUUAACGUGAGAGCUCAACCUAACCUUUAAGAAAGCCCUAAACAUUUACUUGUUUGGUCUGGCCUUCCAAGGUUUUUAAAUUGUUCUUAAAAUAUUUUUAAUUGGUUUUGAAUUGUUUUAGUUUUAAAUGGUGUUUGUUUUUUAUUUAUUGUGCACUGCCCAGAGCUGUUGGAUGGGAUGGUAUACAAGUGUAAUUAAUAAAUAAAGAUGAAAUCUUU